rnacentral:rRNA from 1 species
UGCGUACCUUUUGUAUAAUGGGUCAGCGACUUAUAUUCUGUAGCAAGGUUAACCGUAUAGGGGAGCCGGAGGGAAACCGAGUCUUAAUUGGGCGUUAAGUUGCAGGGUAUAGACCCGAAACCCGGUGAUCUAGCCAUGGGCAGGUUGAAGGUUGGGUAACACUAACUGGAGGACCGAACCGACUAAUGUUGAAAAAUUAGCGGAUGACCUGUGGCUGGGGGUGAAAGGCCAAUCAAACCGGGAGAUAGCUGGUUCUCCCCGAAAGCUAUUUAGGUAGCGCCUCGUGAAUUCAUCUCCGGGGGUAGAGCACUGUUUCGGCUAGGGGGCCAUCCCGGCUUACCAACCCGAUGCAAACUGCGAAUACCGGAGAAUGUUAUCACGGGAGACACACGGCGGGUGCUAACGUCCGUCGUGAAGAGGGAAACAACCCAGACCGCCAGCUAAGGUCCCAAAGUCAUGGUUAAGUGGGAAACGAUGUGGGAAGGCCCAGACAGCCAGGAUGUUGGCUUAGAAGCAGCCAUCAUUUAAAGAAAGCGUAAUAGCUCACUGGUCGAGUCGGCCUGCGCGGAAGAUGUAACGGGGCUAAACCAUGCACCGAAGCUGCGGCAGCGAACGUAUCACCCAAGACAACUUUACGGAGUUGACGAUUGACGGAGCGAAGCGACGUCAAAGCGUUCAUUAAAGUCGAGUUGGCUUAGGGAUACGUUCGUUGGGUAGGGGAGCGUUCUGUAAGCCUGUGAAGGUGUGUCGUGAGGCAUGCUGGAGGUAUCAGAAGUGCGAAUGCUGACAUAAGUAACGAUAAAGCGGGUGAAAAGCCCGCUCGCCGGAAGACCAAGGGUUCCUGUCCAACGUUAAUCGGGGCAGGGUGAGUCGACCCCUAAGGCGAGGCCGAAAGGCGUAGUCGAUGGGAAACGGGUUAAUAUUCCCGUACUUGGUGUUACUGCGAAGGGGGGACGGAGAAGGCUAUGUUGGCCGGGCGACGGUUGUCCCGGUUUAAGCGUGUAGGUGUGUGUUCCAGGUAAAUCCGGUUCACUUUAACACUGAGGCGUGACGACGAGGCACUACGGUGCUGAAGCAACAAAUGCCCUGCUUCCAGGAAAAGCCUCUAAGCAUCAGGUAACAUCAAAUCGUACCCCAAACCGACACAGGUGGUCAGGUAGAGAAUACCAAGGCGCUUGAGAGAACUCGGGUGAAGGAACUAGGCAAAAUGGUGCCGUAACUUCGGGAGAAGGCACGCUGACACGUAGGUGAAGUGAUUUACUCAUGGAGCUGAAGUCAGUCGAAGAUACCAGCUGGCUGCAACUGUUUAUUAAAAACACAGCACUGUGCAAACACGAAAGUGGACGUAUACGGUGUGACGCCUGCCCGGUGCCGGAAGGUUAAUUGAU